AAUAUGAAGCCCAAGUGAGGUGACAAAAGUACAUAUAUGGGCCUUGAAAACCCUAGCCUUUUCCUCUUAGGUCACACGUGUUUUUCUGAUGGGAUUUCUUUUUGCUUCAGCCGACAAUUGAAUUUCUGCCUUUCUCCACUGUGGCGUUGGUGGGAGUCUUCAGGUUCUAAUUCUACUGAAUUGUUGUGAUUCAAGGGAGGUUGAUUUCCUUUAUUUUUGCAACUAAGAGAUACAUUAGGUGGAUUAUUGGAGUAGAGAUUCUUGGGAGACAGAAGUUACAAAUUAAUUUUUGUGGAACUGAGGAUUUUAUUAUUAUUUUAUGGCAUUAAACUUUGUAUUGGAGAAUUAUUUUGAGGAUGUUUUGUAUUUGGUGAAUUAGAGCUCUGACUUUUGUAAUCAGUUUCAAGGUUGCUAGUUUCUUUUAUUUAAUAUUUUUAUGGAUUAUUCAGAUUAAAUAGACUUUUAUUGCCUAUGA